GAACGCUGGGCGGCGUGCCUUACACAUGCAAGUCGAGCGAGGCGGCCCGCAAGGGGUCAGUCGAGCGGCGAACGGGUGAGUAACGCGUGGAUAACCUGCCCAGAGGUGGGGGAUAACCCGGGGAAACUCGGGCUAAUACCGCAUGAUACCGAAAGGUCAAAGGGGGCUCGCAAGGGCUCUCGCCAUAGGAGGGGUCCGCGUCCGAUUAGCUAGUUGGUAGGGUAAUGGCCUACCAAGGCGACGAUCGGUAGCCGGCCUGAGAGGGUGAUCGGCCACACUGGAACUGAGACACGGUCCAGACUCCUACGGGAGGCAGCAGUGGGGAAUUUUGCGCAAUGGGCUAACGCCUGACGCAGCAACGCCGCGUGGAGGAUGAAGGUCUUUGGAUUGUAAACUCCUGUCAGCAGGGAAAAAGCGAAUCGGCCUAACACGCCGGUGAGUUGAUUGUACCUGCAGAGGAAGCCCCGGCUAACUCUGUGCCAGCAGCCGCGGUAAUACAGAGGGGGCAAGCGUUAUUCGGAAUUAUUGGGCGUAAAGGGCGCGUAGGCGGCUUCGCAAGUGGAUGGUGAAAUCCCUCGGCUUAACCGAGGAAUUGCCAUCCAAACUGCGUUGCUUGA
rnacentral:rRNA from 1 species